CCCAGAGCGUCAGUACAGCCGCCAGAGCCGCAGCCCCUCCCCCCGCCACGGUCGGGAGUACAGCUCCUCACGAAGGCAUUCCCGGUCCCAUUCCCGGAGCCCCCACUACCGGCACUGACGGACGGGACCCCCCCAAUAAAAUCCAUGG